GAGUAAGUGAACAAGGGCGUACGGGGGAUGCCUAGGCUCCCAGAGGCGAAGAAGGACGUGACAAGCUGCGAAAAGCCGCGGGGACCCGCAAGCGGGGCUGAUCCGCGGAUGUCCGAAUGGGGCAACCCACCCCGAUUUAUCGGGGUAUCCAUGUAAAUGGAGGCAAACCCGCUGAACUGAAACAUCUAAGUAAGCGGAGGAGGAGAAAACAAGAGUGAUUCCGUGAGUAGUGGCGAGCGAAAGCGGAACAGCCCAAACCGUGCAUGUUACGGCAUGUACGGGGUAAUAGGACCUGUAUAAUUUCAAUGAAUGUGACCUGAAUUGUCUGGGAAGGCAAACGGUAGAGGGUGAGAGUCCCGUAGGGGAAGCAUGAAUUGUGAGACGGGUAUCCUGAGUAGGCCGGGACAGGAGAAAUCCCGGUUGAAUUGUCCGGCACCAUCCGGAAAGGCUAAAUACUCCUGGGAGACCGAUAGUGAACAAGUACCGUGAGGGAAAGGUGAAAAGUACCGUGAACAACGGGGUGAAAUAGAACCUGAAACCGUGCGCCUACAAGCGGUCGGAGCCCUGAGAUGGGGUGACGGCGUGCCUUUUGCAUAAUGAGCCUACGAGUUGCACCUCACUGGCAAGGUUAAGGGUCUUGAGGCCCGCAGCCGGAGCGAAAGCGAGUCUGAACAGGGCGCUGAGUCAGUGGGGGCAGACGCGAAACUUUGUGAUCUACCCAUGGACAGGUUGAAGCGGCGGUAAGACGCCGUGGAGGACCGAACCGAUAAACGUUGAAAAGUUUCCGGAUGAUCUGUGGGUAGGGGUGAAAGGCCAAUCAAACUGAGAAAUAGCUCGUACUCCCCGAAAUGUUUUUAGGAACAGCGUCGCGGAAUGUAUGACGGAGGUAGAGCUACCGAUAGGACUAGGGGGAGUCAUAUCCUACCAAAUCCUGACGAACUCCGAAUGCCGUCAUACAGUAGCGGCAGUGAGGGCAUGGGUGCUAAGGUCCGUGUCCGAGAGGGAAAGAACCCGGACCUACCGCUAAGGUCCCGGAAUUUACGCUAAGUUGAACAAAGGCGGUCCAGCUGCAGAGACAGCCAGGAGGUUAGCUUGGAAGCAGCUAUUCCUUUAAAGAGUGCGUAACAGCUCACUGGUCGAGCGGCAGGGCGUCGAUAAUAAACGGGCAUCAAGUGUAAUACCGAAGCGUAGGAUUUCCUCCCGUACCUACGGGGGGAUCUGGUAGGGGAGCAUUCCAAACACGGUGAAUGCACAUGGCGAUGUGUGCUGGAGAGUUUGGAAAAGCAAAUGUAGGCAUAAGUAACGAUAAUGGGGGCGGGAAACCCCCACACCGAUAGACCAAGGUUUCCUGAUCAACGCUAAUCGGAUCAGGGUCAGUCGGGGCCUAAGGAUAACCCGAAGGGGGAUUCCGAUGGAAAAUGGGUUGAUAUUCCCAUACCUGUCAUACAGGUGACGGAGUGACGGAGUGUUGUAAGGACCGCGCGGUGACGGAAUACCGCGUUGAAGGGAGUAGGUAUUGUUUCCAUAGUCAAAUGCGUGGAGAUAGCCGAACCUGAAAGUACCGCAAUCCUUCGGGAGCGCGGAUAGAGUCCCCAAAAGCUUCCAAGAAAAACUUCUGGCGAUAAGCGUAUGACAGCCCGUACCGCAAACCGACACAGGUGGUCAAGGAGAGAAUCCUGAGGUGCUCGAGUGAAUCAUGGCUAAGGAACUCGGCAAAAUGGCCCUGUAACUUCGGGAGAAGGGGCGCCUAUCCGCCAGCGAUGGCGGGAGGCCGCAGUGAAAAGGCCCAGGCGACUGUUUAGCAAAAACACAUGGCUUUGCGAAAUCGAGAGAUGAAGUAUAAGGCCUGACACCUGCCCGGUGCCGGAAGGUUAAGAGGGGAUGUCACCGCAAGGGAAGCAUUGAAUCGAAGCCCCGGUAAACGGCGGCCGUAACUAUAACGGUCCUAAGGUAGCGAAAUUCCUUGUCGGGUAAGUUCCGACCUGCACGAAUGGUGUAACGAUCUGGGCGCUGUCUCAGCCAUGAGCUCGGUGAAAUUGUAGUCACGGUGAAGAUGCCGUGUACCCGCAACGGGACGGAAAGACCCCAUGAACCUUUACUGCAGCUUAGCAUUGGUAUCGGGUAAACGAUGUGUAGGAUAGGCGGGAGACAGUGAAGCGGCGUCGCCAGGCGCUGUGGAGUCAAUGUUGAAAUACCGCCCUUUGUUUGCCUGGUAUCUAACCCCGUAUGUACGGGGGACAUUGCUUGGUGGGUAGUUUGACUGGGGUGGUCGCCUCCAAAAGGAUAACGGAGGCUUCCAAAGGUUCCCUCAGCACGCUUGGUAACCGUGCGCGGAGUGCAAUAGCAUAAGGGGGCUUGACUGUAAGGCCGACAAGCCGAGCAGGGUGGAAACACGGGUAUAGUGAUCCGGCGGUACUGCAUGGAAAGGCCGUCGCUCAAAGGAUAAAAGGUACUCUGGGGAUAACAGGCUGAUCUCCCCCAAGAGCUCAUAUCGACGGGGAGGUUUGGCACCUCGAUGUCGGCUCGUCACAUCCUGGGGCUGGAGAAGGUCCCAAGGGUUGGGCUGUUCGCCCAUUAAAGUGGCACGCGAGCUGGGUUCAGAACGUCGUGAGACAGUUCGGUCCCUAUCUGUUGCGGGCGUGGGAAGUUUGGGGAGUGCUGACCUUAGUACGAGAGGACCGGGUUGGACUGACCGCUGGUGUACCGGUUGUGGUGCCAACUGCACUGCCGGGUAGCUACGUCGGGAAGGGAUAAGCGCUGAAAGCAUCUAAGUGCGAAACCCCCUCCGAGAUGAGACUUCCAAACAGGGCCGUCAGAGACGAUGACGUUGAUAGGCUGCAGGUGUAAAGCCAGGAAUGGCAAAGCCGAGCAGUACUAAUAGCCCGAAAACUUGCUUCA
rfam:Aquiflexum balticum DSM 16537 genome assembly, chromosome: I